AAAUGCAUAGAACCAUUGCUGCGGUUAAAAAGCUCGUAGUUGGAUCUGUGCCGGCGACGUGGUCCACCUGAAAGGGCGGCACUGCGCUCGUCGGCUUUGGGCCGGUCUUCGUGCGGUUGCCUUAAUCGGUAGCCGUCCGUGGCUGGCUGGUUUACUUUGAGCAAAUCAGAGUGCUCAGCACAGGCGUUUCGCCGGAAUGUUCGUGCAUGGAAUAAUAGAAAAGGAUUUCGGUCCUCUUUUAUUGGUUUUGUGGACUGAGAUAAUGGUUAACAGAGACGAACGGGGGCAUUCGUAUUGCUGCGUGAGAGGUGAAAUUCUUGGACCGCAGCAGGACGGACUACAG
rnacentral:rRNA from 1 species